ensembl:lncRNA
GGGAGGGGAGGCAUAUCAGUGCAACACAGCCUUACUGGAUGAGAAGCAGCAGUAACACUAGCAGCAUCUCAUUUGUGGCUGCUGGGGGCUCGGUCUCACACACACAGGCGCUCCCAGCGCCACCGUCACACACACGCAGUGGCAGCCACAGCCGUCGUUAGAGCCUGGGCUGGGGCAGGGACGGGGACCGCUACUGUGACGACUGGAGCUACGGCGAUAGCAGCUGCUGCACCAUGGCACAAGCCGCCAAGCAGCUACGCAAGAACAAGGACCUAGCGGAGCUCGCAGCUCAGGAGCUGAAGGAUAAGGAGGAGGAGAAGAACAAGAAGAGGAAUCGAUCGAGGGACCGAAGACGCAAGAUCUUCUCAAGCUCUGUCAGGUUGGAUGGGGAGCGUCGCAGAACAGCUAUUUUCAGGUCUCCAGAGAUGUUCGAUCGGGUUCAAGUCCGGGCUCUGACUGAGCCACUCAAGGACAUUCAGAGACUUGUCCCGAAGCCACUCCGGCGUUGUCUUGGCUGUGUGCUUAAGGUCGUUGUACUGUUGAAAGGUAAACCUUCACCCCAGUCUGAGGUCCUGAGUGCUCUGGAGCAAGCUUUCAUCAAGGAUCUCUAUGUACUUUUCUCCGUUCACCUUUCCCUCGAUCCUAACUAGUCUCCCAGUCCCUGCCCCUGAAAAAACAUCCCGAUGCAUGAUUCUGCCACCACAUUCCUUCACCGUAGGGAUGGUGCCAGGUUUCCUCCAGACGUGACGCUUGGCACUCAGGUCAAAGAGUUCAAUCUUGGUUUCAUCAGACCAGAGAAUCUUGUUUCCUAUGGUCUGAGAGUCCUUUAGGUGGCUUUUGUAAAACUCCAAGCGGGCUGUUCCUUUUACUGAGGAUUAGCUUCCAUCUGACCUGACCUGAUUGGUGGAGUGC